AUUGAACGCUGGCGGCAGGCCUAACACAUGCAAGUCGAACGAGUGGCGGACGGGUGAGUAAUGUCUGGGAAACUGCCUGAUGGAGGGGGAUAACUACUGGAAACGGUAGCUAAUACCGCAUACCAUCGGAUGUGCCCAGAUGGGAUUAGCUAGUAGGUGGGGUAAAGGCUCACCUAGGCGACGAUCCCUAGCUGGUCUGAGAGGAUGACCAGCCAACACGGAAACGAGAAACGGGCCAGACCCCUACGGGAGGUAACAGGGGGGAAUAUUGCAACAUGGGCGCAAGCCUGAUGGAGCCAUGCCCGGGGGAAUGAGGAGGCCUUCGGGGUGGAAAGUACUUUCAGCGGGGAGGCGUUACCCGCAGAAGAAGCACCGGCUAACUCCGUGCCAGAAGCCGCGGUAAUUC
rnacentral:rRNA from 1 species